CAAUAUACUUUAGCUUAGAAUUAUCGAUAAAAAACAUAAAUAGAACCGCGAUUUUUCUGUUUAAAUAGAAACAUGGAGAUUCUCUCAGUGCGGAGGAUCGUUUAGUCAUGUAAAACGGAUUUUAUGAUGUAAAUAAUUGACCCGCUAAGCUCAUCACGCAGCGCCUUAUAAAUUAGUUUAAACCUGCAGACUGCGCUACUGUAGACUGAUAGCAAUCAGAUUAAAAUAGAAUAGGGACUGCGUUAUUGAGUCUGCGCGAAAUAAGACAAAAAUAGUACAGCAGCAGCUGAUGCGCUGACAACACCAUAUUUCUGUGCCCACCCGUAUUCCGGUAAGCCCCGCCUUAUCUCAGCUCCGAUUGGUUGAUGGAAUCUUUUCGGCGGAGCUUGGAUUGGCUGGUUGAUCAAACACGUGAGUAUAAACCAACAGGCAGCGCUCUUUUAGAGAAACAUCUAGCCAAUCAUAGCUUAGAGUGGGCGGGACUUGUCUGGAAACGAGUGGGAAGUGACCAGCCCGUGGAACGUGUAGCUACAUUUAUGAAGCAGAUUUAAACAGAUUUGAGGCAGUGAAACAUGGCUCAGAGCAGAUAUCUACACUCACCUACAGCCUGACUCAAUAUUCACCUCUAUCUGGACUCAUGACCUGCGGUUCACCAUAAUCUGAGUUUUCCAGUGCUGUCUGCCUGAAGCUGACAGUGCACCUGGUUAAAGACAGAACCAUGACGUUAAUUGUGGACAUAGUGUGGAUGGUGUGGGGAAUUGGGGCCUAUGUGUAUGACUACUUUCAGACCAAUGCCAUGGAGGAACGCAUACAUACCCUGGAGAGUGUCCUCACCGUCCACCAGUUUGUCAUCAUGUUUCUCACAGCAAGCCUUGUCAUAUUAAUUUCUUACCUGGUUUUUAAGAAACGCUGAUUUAACUGCCAUGCGCUCCAGGACCGGGCUGGACCUCCAGAGCACUGAGAUGUGUCUCAGUGGUGUUCACAAUGAAAGACUACUCCACUUAGUCCAAGGAUGUGGAGAUCAAGCCAUAAUAUUAAGUGUGUUAUCACUGAAAUUAAAGCAUAACUUUAUUAUUUAUUAUUAGUGUGGAGCCCUACAACAGGCCUGGUUGUAUCUUAUUGCUUGGCUUGUCUUUGGUACUACCACCUCACCUACUGUCAUGCCAUUCAGAUGACUUCUAAGCGGAGCCUUGAGAGGAGGAUUUUAGAUAGGAUUUGUGUAAAUUUGUGAAAUCAGGAAUAUUUUAACCAUGCUAACUGGUCUGCAAGGGAAUCAUCCAUCAGAGACCAUUGCUCCAUCUUACAAAGUCUCCUUAAACUGACUCAAACCUCAUAUUUAAUAAGAUAAACUCUAGAUUACUCAAUAACAGCACUGUAACUUUAAUGCUAUUAAGAAAUCUUCUUCUUACACUAGUGGCUUUUUUCUACUCUUUAGUACGGGGUUAAUAUGUGUUUACACUGCAGUUACAGUCUGACAUACACUAACAUUUCACACCCACCCUAGAUGACUUUGUUUACAUCUAAUCUGUUUAAUAUCUCAGAUAAUUUUACAUGUCUUUCUUGAUGUGUGAUACACAGCGCAGAAUUCUAAAUGUUUGAACGAGAACCAUGUUUGUUAGAAUAAAGCUAAUAACAGCUA